AGCUCUCUGGGAUUUGAAGAGAACUUCCUCCACAAAGAUUUCAAGACCUCUUUCCACUUACAUUCAGUCCAAAUCGUCGUAUCGCGAAUCUCGGGAUUUUCUAUUUGCUUCGCCUUGGUCCGCAACUCAACUCCGCGGUGCCAAAUCUCGCGGUGCAGAUUUGAAGCCAGGAAAUGUGAUUGAAAAAAAAGGAAGGAUUUAUCAGGUGGUAAAGGCACAACACACAACCCAAGGAAGAGGAGGAGCUAUUAUACAGGUGGAACUUCGUGAUGUUGAUAGUGGAAGCAAGUCCAAUGAAAGAUUUCGUACGGAUGAAACUGUUGAAAGAGUAUUUGUUGCAGAAAAGAGUUUCACGUAUCUUUAUACAGAUGAGGAAACUGGAAACAUUGUGCUAAUGGAGCCUGAGACCUAUGAGCAACUAGAUGUGCCAAAACACUUGUUUGGUGAAUGUUAUGUCUACCUUCAAGAUGAUAUGAAAGUCAAUGUACAACUUUAUAAUGAAAGAGCAAUGUCUGCAUCAAUUCCUACACGAGUAACAUGUACUGUUGCUGAAUCCGAAAUUCCCAUGAGGGCAUCAGCUACUCCACAGUAUAAGAAGGUUUUGUUGGAUAAUGGUCUUACUGUGCAGGUACCGAAACAUAUCGUAGAAGGAGACAAGAUUAUAGUUAACACCAUUGACCACUCUUACAUGAGCAGAGCUUAACAGUGGCAUUUUAUUGGUUUUCUUCAUUGGACCGGCAAACUAUUGACAAGUUUGAGUUACAGUGGGAGUUUAUUAGAAUCCAAAUUAUAGUAGAGAUGUUUUUAGCAGAGUAUUUACAUGAGUUGAAAAAGCAGUGUUAAAGCUUUUCCUCAAGUCCUAGCUUAUUGUGGGGGAAAGAGUAUAUUAUUGGAGUAAAGUGUAGUUGAUGUUACUGGCUCCUGCUCUGUCUAAGCAUAUUUGGUCAUAUGGCUUUUUGGGGGACAAUUUUUAUUGUAAUAAACAUCUAUCACCAGAAUAUUCAUAUUUAGAGAUGUUGCUG
rnacentral:misc_RNA from 1 species